UACGAAGGGGGCUAGCGUUGCUCGGAAUCACUGGGCGUAAAGGGUGCGUAGGCGGGUUCUUAAGUCAGAGGUGAAAUCCUGGAGCUCAACUCCAGAACUGCCUUUGAUACUGAGAGUCUUGAGUUCGGGAGAGGUGAGUGGAACUGCGAGUGUAGAGGUGAAAUUCGUAGAUAUUCGCAAGAACACCAGUGGCGAAGGCGGCUCACUGGCCCGAUACUGACGCUGAGGCACGAAAGCGUGGGGAGCAACAGGG
rnacentral:rRNA from 1 species